GCUUACACGGCCCUCGAAAGGCCGCUCUUCCACGGCGGUAACACGGGUUCAAAUCCCGUCGGGGACGCCA
rnacentral:tRNA from 1 species